GUUGGCCACUGUCGUGCAUUGUAGUUGCAUUGCACGUUCCGGCAGUACUGGUGCAAUGUUCCCACAGUGCAUUACAGAGACCCGC